rnacentral:rRNA from 1 species
UCUACGGGAGGCAGCAGUGGGGAAUAUUGGACAAUGGGCGAAAGCCUGAUCCAGCAAUGCCGCGUGAGUGAUGAGGGCCUUAGGGUUGUAAAGCUCUUUUACCCGGGAUGAUAAUGACAGUACCGGGAGAAUAAGCUCCGGCUAACUCCGUGCCAGCAGCCGCGGUAAUA